CCCUUAGAUGUUCUGGGCUGCACGCGCGCUACACUGAAGCGUUCAACGAGUAUUCACCUUGCCCGGGAGGGUUGGGUAAUCUUUUGAAAACGCUUCGUGAUGGGGAUAGAUUAUUGCAAUUAUUAAUCUUCAACGAGGAAUUCCUAGUAAGCGCGAGUCAUCAGCUCGUGCUGAUUACGUCCCUGCCCUUUGUACACACCGCCCGUCGCUCCUACCGAUUGAGUGGUCCGGUGAGGCUUUGGGAUCUGAGCGGAAAGAGCGUUUCGCUGUUUCUGCCCGGAAAACUCAGUCGAACCUUAUCAUUUAGAGGAAGGAGAAGUCGUAACA
rnacentral:rRNA from 1 species